GUUUGGGCCUCAAUCAAUUUAAAUGGGCCUUUCGCUCUAGGUUUUAGUUCAAUCGUAAUAAAUUUAUGUGAAAUAAAUACAAAUACUAAAUCUAAAAAGAACCAGUGCAUUAAAUAUAAACAUUCUAAAAAUAAAUAAAAAGAAAAUAAGAAUUGAUGCAUGAUGAAAAUUCGAAAACUACUGCAAAUCUCACACGUGCAACUUUUUCUUCGGCUUGGAGAGAUUCAUUUUGAUCAGGAAGCGAUAAUUAUGAAGCAUUUAUCGUGAGAACAUUGUCAUGCCUGCUUUAAUGUCUUGCACAAGGAAUCGAGUCCACUGCGAGCAGUACCUCGGCCCAGCAUUUUCGCCCUCAAGGUUAUCCUGCAAAUAAAAGAUCCACUUAAAGCCAGUUAAUUAAGUCCUUGACAAAUGAAAUAAUUUUAAAGUCCAGCAUCUUUUAUGAAUACCUCAAUUGCACAAGAGAUGCAAUGCUUUAAAAGUGUACAAUCUUCCCUCAACACACAAACAAUACAUUCUCUUAUUACAGCAAUAUUAUCAUCUGUUAGCUAUCCCAGAUAGUCUGCUGUUAUAAGGCUUACACUAAAGAAUAUCACGUAACUAAAGCUUUAACAAUGUCAAAUGACACAAACGAAAUGCAUUCAAGGAAGCUGGAAACAGCAGAAAACAUAUUUACCUCCACCCUUUUCCACAAUAAAGACGUAUUUUUCCGAUGGCAGAAACUACAUAAUCAACUCUUUUGGUUUAUUAGGAAAGGAAAAGAAACUGAAUUUGUGCUUCCUUUUCUUUAGUUUAGGAUAUGCGUCUUAUCAGUCAAAAUGCUAUGAGACCUAAAGAAAAUGAAGACUAAAAAUGGAAAAUAAAUAAAUCAAGCACCAGAUGCUAAUAAUCAUUGCAAAGAUGACAACAGUAUAUCAUCAGAAUGCUUAAUAUUAAGUUUGAAUUGCAUGUCCGAUCAACUAACGCAUUUUUAGAAGAAAACAAGGCACCAACCAGUGAUGAUGGAUCACCAAAUGAUAAGCCUACUUCCCAGAGUUUGGUUAAAUGGCAGGGCCAGCCUAUUGAUGAUGAUAAAUGGCUGGAUGAUGAUUUAAAGGGCCAAUUUCCAUGUUUCAGCUUUAAGGACAAGGUUGUUUUUAAAGAGGGUGGCAACUAUAACACGAAGGAAGGGCCAAAGGCACAUAGAUUGUUUACUCUAGAACAUAAAAGCAGAAUCAAAAAGAUUAGGAGAGGAUGUAGCGUUAGUUAUGCCAAAGCAUGACUUGUGUAUGAGUACUAGAAAAGCUAUAAACAGGAUCAAGGAGGGAAAAGAGGGUAUCAAGUGUUUUCCUUGAGUAAUUGGGAGCUGGAAAUUAUUCUUGCUUGGGGAGACUUAUCUCCUAUACUUGAUAGUUGUAUUACAAUUUUCACAAUUCAAUCAAAUUAUCCCUCCUCCAUUCCCUAUUUAGCUAUUUAUGUCACUGUUAUUUUGCUUAGUUAAAUUCCCUUCUCUAUCAAAAAGAUGCAACUAUUGCCAAGUUUUGUUAUGAGCUUAUGUCUGAAUUUUGGUAAUAAUCUUAAACCAAUCAACUAUUGUUAAAUAUGAAGGUCAAUAGACAUGAAAUGCUGAGGGAGGCACACUAAGGGCCACGUAAAACACAGUGAUAAAUUUAUCAAGUGUCACAUCAAUAGAAAUAACUUGGAAAUAUGCUACUGCAGGUUAAAUAGGUUUUAUAUCACUUAAAUUGAUGUUGAGGGAGUUUAAAGGGAGAAAAUAAAGUUUAGGCAACUUACUAUUACAUACCCCUAAAUUAAGGUACCAUGUCUGUGCAAUUUACCCCAUCCACAUAGUUUUACUAAUUCCUACAUUUUUAAAAUUUUUUCUUGAUUCUGCCAGAUUUAAAAAAAAAUGAAUGACACAAGUUAUGUUUUCCACAAUAAUAGAGACAAGUCAAUAGAGUUUCCAAUCAAACUAUAAGCCAAUUAUGAGUUUAUAAAUGAAAAUCCAAAAAUUUUAAAUUUGUGAAAAAAUUCAUUUAUGCCCAAUUUGAGGAAAGAUAAGUCAGCUAAUUCUCCAUCCUUCGUCAUUUUUAAACACCUAAAUAAAAGUAACUUGAUUUAAUAUCUCUAAACUGAAAGAAAAGUUCAUGAUAUCUGAGGCAUAAUGUCUAAUAAGUGGAUUCACAAUAACUAAGAAAUAAAAGAGAAGAUGCUGACAUAUUUACAAAAAAGUGAAGCCAUGGAAUUUAAGAAAAAGAGAAAUAAAAAAAUGAAAUGAAAAAAAAAAAUCUCAAACAACAAAUUGUUAUAACUUAAAAUAGAAGGCAAGUUCUCAAUCAAUGUGCAAUGCUACAAACUACAGCAGAAUCACAGCAAAGAUGGAAAGUUAGAAAGACUAACAGGCAAUAUCAACCCUCUACAUGCUAGUUCAGCAAAUGCUAAAAAUGCUUGGAGAACUUAAAAAUCUUCAAACAAGGGGGCAGGCUCAAAUUUUCUAAGAUCAUUACUAUUUGCAAUACUAGAAGUCUAGAAUCAACGAAGGAAAUAUCAAAUGGAGUUCGUGCGAGAAUAGACAGCAAGAUAUAUCACAUUUUUCACCUCAGACCAUCCUGUAUUUUCCUGCAUCCUGAAGUUGUCAUAGUACUUCUACAAGAGAGGCUACAAAAACCCUAAUCAAGCAAUACAUAUGAUGAAUAUCGAUUACUCUUGAGUAUUGUUGAAAUGAUUAAACACAAACAAUCCCUAUUUCAUGGUUCUAGUACGGUAGACGAAUAAUUGAUCGUACAAUAAUUACCCCCAAUUCACUCGAGUAACUAUGCUCUCCAAGCAGUCUCCACUGGUUAUCGCUCCUAACACUUGCCAUCUAAAACACCAAUAGAAGAAUCAAUCGAUCAUACAAUGAUUGAUCUCACAUCAUAAGAAAGCAAUUUGUGAAAUAAAAAUAUAGAUAGAAGAAAUGAAUUUACAAUUGAUCGAACUUUCGUGGACGGAGGCGGCGUCGGAGAUGCGGACAUUGGGAACAAUGUCGUGGAGGAGGAACGUGACUGGAAAGGGAAACAAAGGGGAGAUGUGAUGAUUGAAUACAGGUGAUCGGAGAAGAAAAGAGAGUGUUACUACAAGCUAGGGUUCGGCGUGGCAAUUUAAAAAAGAAAAAGGAAAAAUGAAGCUUCUAGUGUAGUGCCAUGCCCGAAAAUAAGGUAGAUUCCGCCAACUGGAUCUCUAGCCGAUAUGGAGCUCUUAACCUUAAACUUCGGUGAUCCAAACUUAAUUUUUGUUGUUGCGAUAGACUACUAUAAUUUUUCAAAAAAAAAAUUUUGAAAUUCAUAACUUUAAAAGUGUCACGAAAAUUAUAAACUGAUUACAAAAUUUAAUAUGAAAAUUCUAUCAUAUAAAUAUUAUUUUUACAGUUUAAUUAUUUUAUUUUAAAUAUUUUCAUAAUUUUACAUAUUAAAUUUUUAUUUUUAUUAUAAAUAAUCUUUUUUA
rnacentral:lncRNA from 1 species